rnacentral:rRNA from 1 species
CAAUAGCGUAUAUUAAAGUUGUUGCAGUUAAAAAGCUCGUAGUUGGAUUUCUGAUCGAGACAUCAGGUCGGGUCCGAGAGGAUCAUGUACUUUGAUUUUGUUUUGAUCAUCCUUGGGGAGAGCAUUUCUGGCAUUCAGUUGUCGGGAGUGGGAUCCUCAUCGUUUACUGUGAAAAAAUUAGAGUGUUCAAAGCAGGCCUCGGCCUCUGAAUACAUUAGCAUGGAAUAAUAAGAUAGGACUUUGGUGGUCUAUUUUGUUGGUUUGCACGCCAAAGUAAUGAUUAAUAGGGAUAGUUGGGGGUAUUCGUAUUCAAUUGUCAGAGGUGAAAUUCUUGGAUUUAUGGAAGACGAACUACUGCGAAAGCAUUUACCAAGGAUGUUUUCAUUAA